rnacentral:rRNA from 2 species
GGAUUAUUGGGCGUAAGCGCGCGCAGGCGGUCCUUUAAGUCUGAUGUGAAAGCCCACGGCUCAACCGUGGAGGGUCAUUGGAAACUGGGGGACUUGAGUGCAGAAGAGAAGAGUGGAAUUCCACGUGUAGCGGUGAAAUGCGUAGAGAUGUGGAGGAACACCAGUGGCGAAGGCGACUCUUUGGUCUGUAACUGACGCUGAGGCGCGAAAGCGUGGGGAGCAAACAGGAUUAGAUACCCUGGUAGUCCACGCCGUAAACGAUGAGUGCUAAGUGUUAGAGGGUUUCCGCCCUUUAGUGCUGCAGCAAACGCAUUAAGCACUCCGCCUGGGGAGUACGGCCGCAAGGCUGAAACUCAAAGGAAUUGACGGGGGCCCGCACAAGCGGUGGAUCAUGUGGUUUAAUUCGAACC